rnacentral:rRNA from 1 species
CUACGGGGGGCUGCAGUGGGGAAUAUUGCACAAUGGGCGCAAGCCUGAUGCAGCAACGCCGCGUGAGGGAUGAAGGCCUUCGGGUUGUAAACCUCUUUUAGCAGGGAAGAAGCGAAAGUGACGGUACCUGCAGAAAAAGCACCGGCUAACUACGUGCCAGCAGCCGCGGGAAUACGUAGGGUGCAAGCGUUGUCCGGAAUUAUUGGGCGUAAAGAGCUCGUAGGCGGUUUGUCACGUCUGCUGUGAAAAUCCAAGGCUCAACCUUGGACUUGCAGUGGGUACGGGCAGGCUAGAGUGCGGUAGGGGAGAUGGGAAUUCCUGGUGUAGCGGUGGAAUGCGCAGAUAUCAGGAGGAACACCAAUGGCGAAGGCACAUCUCUGGGCCGUAACUGACGCUGAGGAGCGAAAGCGUGGGGAGCGAACAGGAUUAGAUACCCCAGUAGUC